GAUUCACAAAUCCACUGCCUUCAUCCACUUGGCUACAUCCGCCC
rnacentral:tRNA from 2 species